UUGAUCAUGGCUCAGAAUGACCGCUGGCUGCGUGCUUAACACAUGCAAGUCGUACGAGAACUCUUUAGCUUGCUAAAGAUAGUAAAGUGGCGUACGGGUGAGUAACGCGUGGGUAAUCUACCUCCGAAUCGGGGAUAACCCGCCGAAAGGCGAGCUAAUACCGGAUAAUAUCUUUAAAACUUCGGUUUUUAAGAUCAAAGGUGGUCUCCACAUGUAAGCUACUGUUUGGAGAUGAGCCCGCGUACCAUUAGCUUGUUGGUAGGGUAAUGGCCUACCAAGGCUUCGAUGGUUAGCUGGUCUGAGAGGAUGAUCAGCUACACUGGAACUGACACACGGUCCAGACUCCUACGGGAGGCAGCAGUGAGGAAUUUUGCGCAAUGGGGGAAACCCUGACGCAGCAACGCCGCGUGAGUGAUGAAGGCUUUCGGGUCGUAAAGCUCUGUCAAGUGGGAAGAACAUGCUUG
rnacentral:rRNA from 1 species